UGCGUAGGUGGCCGGGUAAGUCUGAUGUGAAAUCUCCGAGCCUAACUCGGAAACUACAUCGGAUACUAUUCGGCUGGAGGGUUGGAGGGGGGACGUGGAAUACUUGGUGUAGCAGUGAAAUGCGUAGAUAUCAAGUGGAACACCAGUGGCGAAGGCGAGUCCCUGGACAACUCCUGACGCUGAGACGCGAAAGCGUGGGGAGCAAACA
rnacentral:rRNA from 1 species